ACGGCGACGACGCCCGGCUGGGCCGGCGCCUUAGAAGUUGGACCGGCCCCGGCCUGGGUCGGACGGUGGAGGUGAUAGACAUCUGCUCGCCCAGUAACGAUGGCGGUGUUUCACGACGAGGUGGAGAUCGAGGACUUCCAAUAUGACGAGGACUCGGAGACGUACUUCUACCCCUGCCCGUGUGGAGAUAACUUCUGCAUCACCAAGGAAGAUUUGGAGAAUGGGGAAGACGUGGCAACGUGCCCUAGCUGCUCUCUCAUUAUAAAAGUGAUUUAUGACAAAGAUCAGUUUAUGUGUGGAGAGACAGUCCCGGCCCCUUCCACCAACAAAGAGCUAGUUAAGUGCUGAAGCAGACUUUAGGAUUCCAAAGCCUGAAUUUUGGGGAAUGAGCCAAAUUGGAAAAAUCAAAUGCAAAGUCACUGGCUUCUUCAUGGGAACAGUCAUUUUGUAGUUUGGUGUUCCAUAGAGUGUGGAUUCUUUCCAUCGGCUGCCAAGUUCAUCUCCAGUUGAAGAAGCAAGUCCACCACAUGACAUACGCGGAUUUUGUGCCAAAACUUUGAAUUGGAUGGGCUCUUAAUUUUCCAUCCGAACUUAAAAGAAGAUAAUUUCAAAUCAGUGCUUUCUUUCACUCAAUUUUGUUAUUUUUAUAUCUUACACAUAAUUACUUCAUUAUCUGACAACAGCUUCAUCUACCUCAAAGUCAUUAGGAUUCUUUAAUUUUAAAAAAGAUUUUACUUUUAGUUGGUUAUUAAGAUUAUUAAAUCAGCCCUUUCUUUGUAGUUUGACAUCAGCUCUGCUGUUCUAAACUGAAGAAAUCAGUUGCCUUCAGUCAGUCGGGGACUGUACCUUCAGUUGGCCAGGCCAGUUUUCAAGAGCUGGCCAUGAGUCAGAUGUCUGUGUUCUGUUAAGCAUGUCAUUUCCAUUAUACUUCAUACACUGGGUUCUGGUCAUGGUGUUAAAGAGAAAAUAUACUGAGCUCACAAUUUGUCCAGAGUUAAAAGGUAGUGAGUAAGAAGAAAAGUCAAAAAGUGAAAUGAUCAAAGAAUAUGGAAUUUCCUUAUCAAUAUUCUGCAUGUUCCUUGAAAAUCAGGACAAGAUAAAAAGAAAAACAGCCAAAGAAAGUGAAAUUGGUAAACGGAGGAGAGGAGAAAAAUAUGCCUACUUUUAGUAAAUUAACUGCUUGAGUGGUUACAGAGCAAGUAACAUUUCUGAAUCUGGGUUCUUGUGUGUGUAUUUGUUUUUAGAUAAGGCUAAGGAAAUUUCACUCUAGGUAGGGGUUAAUGUCAAGUCUUCAUGGCUAGCGGCCCUGCUUUCAGCAUUACCACCAAAUCAAGUUACUAGUCCUAAAAGGUAAAGCUUCCACAGCAACUCUUGUAUUUGCUGAGGAGGAACUUAAGAAUGAGAUGCCUGUUCCAAUUAAAUAUGCCCCUGAGGGCCCAUCUAAUAAGCCUCUAUAAGCUGCAACCACAUCAGACAUUCACUCUUGCCCUGGAGAAAAAGAAACAUACAAAGAUAGGCUAUCGGUCUUCCUUUGCUACAGCCCUGAGAAUAGCAAGAAAUAGAACCACUUGCACAGAAAUGCCAAAAUUCCCUUUAUAUACACACCUCUGCUGUGUGUACAUAAAGCUAAACUCACCUAUGUCUGGUGGGUUGCUCUGUAAAUGGCUUCUGCAGUUAGAAAAAUAGCUUGCCAGCAUGUGAGCAUUUUAUUACUAACUGAUAAAUGUGCAGCAUACUCACUGGGGGUUUAAAUUAAAACAGGCCAGUGGCCUUUUUUCCCCUGCCAACAGCAUGGCUAUGUGAAGCCAUUAGGCUGAGACAUAAAUCACCAAAAACUGUAUGCCAGAACUGCUUGGUACAUUAUGUGAAGCAUAUGGCGUGUUGAUAUGUUGAGAAAUCUCAUCGCUGUUUGGGACACUGACACCCCAGAAGUAAUCCACAGUUGCUUUGGAACGAGUGACGGCUCAGGUGAACAGAGCAGGGUGUGUGCUGACUGGUGGGGAUGAGCUACAGAGAGAAACGAACUGUCCCAUACUCAGAUCUGAUGGUUUCGUAGAUACUGGUAACUGAUGAUGAAUUUCAAACAAGAACAGACAUCCCUGAUGUCACUUACACUGUGAGCGUAGAAGAGCAGGAAGAAAAGUUGCCCAAGUCCAAAUGUCCCAGGAGAAAAGCCAGCACCACUGGCGAUUGGUGAUAAUGUGAUAACGGGAAUGAUUUCAUUCCAAAGCAGCUGAGUUGCUAAAUCUGUUAACCACAAAAGAACACAUCAGGAUUUAAUCCUGUGUUAAGCAGAAAGUAAAACCAGGGUCUGACAGAUACGACUCGAGUUCAGUGUGGUGUAUAUGCCUUGUUUAGCUUCACAGACAUUUCAGAGACCCUCUGAGGACUGAGUUGUAAUCCAGGCUCUGUCUCUUGCUGCCUUGGUAAUCUUUGGCAAGACCAGUGGAUUCCUCAUCCGUACAAUUAGGAGACUGGAUCAGGGUAUUUCUAAACUCAGUACUAUAAUUUCAGGCUUCAUAGUUUGCAGGAGCUGGAAUGGUAAUUGAAACCUUUUUAAACUAAACACGGGCUGAAGAUGAAUUACAGAGAAAGACACUCCAUUCUUCAGUAACUCCAUGUCAAAGGAUUCUGCAUAUACUUUAGUGUACACAGUCAGAAACCUUUUUAUCGGAAAGCACCCAACAUUUUUGACAACUGUACAUAUUAAUUUAUUACCAGAAUAAAUUGUAUUGGCAUGCUAAAUAAAGCCAGAUUAUUUACAUCC
ensembl:lncRNA